rnacentral:misc_RNA from 1 species
GAUGAAGAACGCAGCGAAAUGCGAUAAGUAAUGUGAAUUGCAGAAUUCAGUGAAUCAUCGAAUCUUUGAACGCACAUUGCGCCCGUCAGUAUUCUGGCGGGCAUGCCUGUUCGAGCGUCAUUACGCCCCUCAAGUCCCCUGUGGACUUGGUGUUGGGGAUCGGCGAGGCUGGUUUUCCAGCACAGCCGUCCCUUAAAUUAAUUGGCGGUCUCGCCGUGGCCCUCCUCUGCGCAGUAGUAAAACACUCGCAACAGGAGCCCGGCGCGGUCCACUGCCGUAAAACCCCCCAACUUUUUAUAGUUGACCUCGAAUCAGGUAGGACUACCCGCUGAACUUAAGCAUAUCAAUAAGCGGAG